rnacentral:rRNA from 1 species
UACGGGGGGGGCAAGCGUUGUUCGGAAUUACUGGGCGUAAAGGGCUCGUAGGUGGCCAACUAAGUCAGACGUGAAAUCCCUCAGCUUAACUGGGGAACUGCGUCUGAUACUGGAUGGCUUGAGUUUGGGAGAGGGAUGCGGAAUUCCAGGUGUAGCGGUGAAAUGCGUAGAUAUCUGGAGGAACACCGGUGGCGAAGGCAAUCCCCUGGGCCUGCACUGACGCUCAUGCACGAAAGCGUGGGGAGCAAACAGG